rnacentral:rRNA from 1 species
AUUGAACGCUGGCGGCAGGCCUAACACAUGCAAGUCGAACGAGUGGCGGACGGGUGAGUAAUGUCUGGGAAACUGCCUGAUGGAGGGGGAUAACUACCGGAAACGGUAGCUAAUACCGCAUCCCAUCGGAUGUGCCCAGAUGGGUUUAGCUAGUAGGUGGGGUAAAGGCUCACCUAGACAACGAUCCCUAGCUGGUCUGAGAGGACGACCAGCAACACUGUAACUGAGACACGGUCAAGACUCCGACGGGAGGCAGCAGUGGGGAAGAUUGCACAAUGGGCGCAAGCCUGAUACAGCCAGGCCGCGUGUAUGAAGAAGGCCUUCGGGUUGUAAAGUACUUUCAGCGUGGAGGCGUUACCCGCAGAAGAAGCACCAGCUGACUCCGUGCCAGCAGCCGCGGUAAUUC